AGCAGCCGCGGUAAUUCCAGCUCCAAUAGCGUAUAUUAAAGUUGUUGCAGUUAAAAAGCUCGUAGUUGAAUUUCGGGAUCAAAUUGUCGGUCGUGCCUCGGUACGUACUGGUAUUAUUGGUUCCUACCUUCUGAAGAACCGCGAUGUCAUUAAUUUGGUGUCGUGGGGAAUCAGGACUGUUACUUUGAAAAAAUUAGAGUGUUUAAAGCAGGCUUACGCUUGAAUACAUUAGCAUGGAAUAAUGAAAUAGGACGUUUGAUUCUAUUUUGUUGGUUUCUAGGAUUGACGUAAUGAUUAAUAGGGAUAGUUGGGGGCAUUAGUAUUCAAUUGUCAGAGGUGAAAUUCUUGGAUUUAUUGAAGACUAACUACUGCGAAAGCAUUUGCCAAGGAUGUUUUCAUUAAUCAAGAACGAAAGUUAGGGAUCGAAGACGAUCAGAUACCGUCGUAGUC
rnacentral:rRNA from 1 species